CCUACGGGGUGCAGCAGUGAGGAAUAUUGGUCAAUGGGCGGGAGCCUGAACCAGCCAAGUCGCGUGAGGGAAGACGGUCCUAUGGAUUGUAAACCUCUUUAGGCGGGGAGCAAUGCCGGGCACGCGUGCCCGGAGGGAGCGUACCCGCAGAAUAAGCAUCGGCUAACUCCGUGCCAGCAGCCGCGGUAAUACGGAGGAUGCGAGCGUUAUCCGGAUUUUUUGGGUUUAAAGGGUGCGUAGGCGGAUUUUUAAGUCAGCGUUAAAAUGUCCGGGCUCAACCCGGGCCGGCCGUUGAAACUGGGGAUCUUGAGUGGGCGAGAGGUAUGCGGAAUGCGUGGUGUAGCGGUGAAAUGCAUAGAUAUCACGCAGAACUCCGAUUGCGAAGGCAGCAUACCGGCGCCCGACUGACGCUGAGGCACGAAAGCGUGGGGAUCGAACAGGAUUAGAUACCCCAGUAGUC
rnacentral:rRNA from 1 species